rnacentral:rRNA from 1 species
GACGAACGCUGGCGGCGUGCUUAACACAUGCAAGUCGAACGGAAAGGCCCUGCUUUUGUGGGGUGCUCGAGUGGCGAACGGGUGAGUAACACGGGAGUAACCUGCCCUUGACUUUGGGAUAACUUCAGGAAACUGGGGCUAAUACCGGAUAGGAGCUCCUGCUGCAUGGUGGGGGUUGGAAAGUUUCGGCGGUUGGGGAUGGACUCGCGGCUUAUCAGCUUGUUGGUGGGGUAGUGGCUUACCAAGGCUUUGACGGGUAGCCGGCCUGAGAGGGUGACCGGCCACAUUGGGACUGAGAUACGGCCCAGACUCCUACGGGAGGCAGCAGUGGGGAAUAUUGCACAAUGGGCGGAAGCCUGACGCAGCAACGCCGCGUGCGGGAUGACGGCCUUCGGGUUGUAAACCGCUUUCGCCUGUGACGAAGCGUGAGUGACGGUAAUGGGUAAAGAAGCACCGGCUAACUACGUG